rnacentral:rRNA from 1 species
UACGUAGGGUGCGAGCGUUGUCCGGAAUUAUUGGGCGUAAAGAGCUCGUAGGCGGUCUGUCGCGUCGAUCGUGAAAACUUGGGGCUUAACCCUGAGCUUGCGGUCGAUACGGGCAUGACUGGAGUUCGGCAGGGGAGACUGGAAUUCCUGGUGUAGCGGUGAAAUGCGCAGAUAUCAGGAGGAACACCGGUGGCGAAGGCGGUUCUCUGGGCCUUACCUGACACUGAGGAGCGAAAGCGUGGGGAGCGAACAGG